rnacentral:rRNA from 1 species
GGUCAAGCAAAUAAGGGCGUACGGGGGAUGUCUUGGCGCUAGAAGUUGAGACGUGGAAGGCUGCGAUAAGCUUGGGGUAGCUGUCAAACGAGCAUUGAUCCCAGGAUUUCUCAUCAACCCGGUGAACUGAAACAUCUAAGUAACCGGAGGAAAGGAAAGCAAAAGCGACUCCCUUAGUAGCGGCGAGCGAAACGGGACCAGCCCGUUGACUUCAGAAAGCCAGAAGAAUCCGAUGGAAAGCGGAACCGAAGAGGGUGACAGUCCCGUAAUCGAAGGUGAAGGAUAGUCAACUUUAUGAGUAGGGCCAGCCACGUGAAAUCUGGUCUGAAGUUAGGAGGCCCACCUCCUAAGGCUAAGUACUCUCUAGCGACCGAUAGUGAAUCAAGUAGCGCGAGUGAAAGAUGAAAAGUACCCCUAUAAGGGGAGUUAAAAGUACCUGAAACCGUGCGCCUACAAGCGGUCAGAGCCCUAUGUUUACAAGGGUGAUGGCGUGCCUUUUGCAUAAUGACCCGGCGAGUUACCGUCUGUGGCAUGGUUAAGACCUUCAGGGUCGGAGCCAGAGGGAAACCAAGUCUGAAUAGGGCGUAUUGUCAUUGGCGGUAGACGCGAAACCUGGUGAUCUACCCAUGGGCAGGUUGAAGCGCGGGUAAGACUGCGUGGAGGACCGAACCCACUUGUGUUGAAAAAUGAGGGGAUGACCUGUGGGGAGGAGUGAAAGUCUAAUCAAACCAGGAGAUAGCUCGUUCUCUUCGAAAUAGCUUUAGGGCUAGCCUCGAGCAACUAUUCAUUGGGGGUAGAGAUACUGAUUUCGACUGGGGCCCUUCCCGGGUACCCACCGUGACCAAACUCCGAAUACCAAUGAAAUUAUCUCGGGAGUCAGUCGGCGGGGGAUAAGCUCCGUCGUCGAGAGGGAAACAACCCAGAUCGCCUGCUAAGGUCCCAAAACUACACUAAGUCACAAAGGAUGUCUAAAUGCUGUGACAGUCGGGAUGUUGGCUUAGAAGCAGCCACCAUUUAAAAAGUGCGUAAUAGCUUACCGAUCGAGCAUUUCUGCACCGAUAAUGACCGGGAGUAAGUGUAGUGCCGAAGCAGCGGAUUCGUCUUCGGACGAGUGGUAGAAGAGCGUUCCACAUCAGACACGAGCCAUACCGGAAGGAGUGGUGAAGGGGUGUGGAAGUGAUUAUGCCGGGAUGAGUAACGAUAAUGCAGGUGAGAAUCCUGCACGCCGUAAGCCUAAGGUUUCCUGGGGAAGGUAAAUCCGCCCAGGGUUAGCCGGCCCCUUAGUCCAGGCCGAAAGGCGUAGACGAUGGGAAGCAGGUUAAUAUUCCUGCGCCGCGUAUGGAGGACGUUGUGUGAAUUAGAGUCGGGGUGUCGGAAAUCCCCGUGCCGCAAGGCCGAGUCCUUAGAUGACGAAGCACUAUGAAGCAUAAUCAAGAAAAGCCCAUACAUUAGCGACCGUACUAAAACUGACACAGGUAGGCGGGGCGAGUAGCCUCAGGCGCUCGGGAGAACGCUGUUUAAGGAACUCUGCAAAAUGGCCCCGUAACUUCGGGAUAAGGGGUGCCAUCGCGAGAUGGCCACAGUAAAUUGGCUUCAUCGACUGUUUACUAAAAACACAGGACUCUGCGAACUCGUAAGAGGAUGUAUAGAGUCUGACGCCUGCUCGGUGCCGGUAAGUUAAGGAAGGGGGUUAUCCUUCGGGAGAAGCUCACAACCGAAGCUCCGGUAAACGGCGGCCGUAACUAUGACGGUCCUAAGGUAGCGAAAUUCCUUGUCGGGUAAGUUCCGACCUGCAUGAAAGGCGUAACGAGUGAAGCACUGUCUCAAACAGCGACCCGGUGAAAUUGUAGUCGUGGUGAAGAUGCCACGUACCCGCAGCUAGACGGAAAGACCCCAUGAACCUUUACUGCAGGCUGAUAUUGGAACUAGAUAUGUUUUGUGUAGGAUAGGUGGGAGGCUUCGAAACGGAGGCGCAAGUUUUCGUUGAGCCAUCCUUGAAAUACCACCCUGAGCCUGUUUGGUUUCUAACACGUGUAAUGAAUCUUGCACGUGAACAGUUUCAGUUGGGCAGUUUGACUGGGGCGGUCUCCUCCCAAAGAGUAACGGAGGAGCCCAAUGGUACCCUCAGCCUGGUUGGCAAUCAGGCGUAGAGCGUAAACGUAGAAGGGUGCUUGACUGCGAGACCUAUAAGUCGAGCAGAGACGAAAGUCGGGGUUAGUGAUCCGGCGGUUCCGAGUGGAAGGGCCGUCGCUCAACGGAUAAAAGGUACUC